UGAGGAAUAUUGGUCAAUGGGCGAGAGCCUGAACCAGCCAUCCCGCGUGCAGGAAGACGGCCCUAUGGGUUGUAAACUGCUUUUGCGCAUGAAGAAUGUUACCGACGUGUCGGUAAGUGACGGUAAUGCGUGAAUAAGCAUCGGCUAACUCCGUGCCAGCAGCCGCGGUAAUACGGAGGAUGCAAGCGUUAUCCGGAUUUAUUGGGUUUAAAGGGUGCGUAGGCGGCCUUGUAAGUCAGUGGUGAAAACCUGCAGCUCAACUGUAGGCGUGCCAAUGAAACUGUGAGGCUUGAGUGACGUUGAGGCAGGCGGAAUGUGUAGUGUAGCGGUGAAAUGCUUAGAUAUUACACAGAACACCGAUUGCGUAGGCAGCUUGCUAAAGGUUAACUGACGCUGAUGC
rnacentral:rRNA from 1 species